AGUGUCGACUGUGACUCCCUGUCAAGAGGACAUCUUUGACGAUGGUCUCCAGAACUUUUCAGUUCUUGCUGAUGGUGGUAUUGGUGGGAGGCCUUUUGUUGUCGGCAUUAACCCAUGCAGAGGCUGCUCCUAGUGGAUCCUUAUAUGGCGGAUACGGUGGAUAUGACGGAUAUGGCGGAUACGGUGGAUAUGGGGGAUAUGGCCGUAGAUUCGGUGGAUAUGGUUACAGAUUUGGUGGAUAUGGACUCGGCGUCGGCCUUGGUGGCUAUGGUUACGGCCGCUAGAUCUAGUUAUCCCAGGGUCUUGGAGUGUUGAAGGCCCAAGAGACGGAGGCUUCUACCACAUCUGGCACCCAACGCUCCGGAACCCGUCCUUCCAAGACACCCUGAGCUGAAAUAAGUGAUAAUGGAACAAGAGAAUAUAUUUAUAACUUAUAUGUCAUAAUUUAUUGGAAUUAGUCUCGUAAAA